UACUCUGUGUGCCAGAACACCUUGGGAAAAC
rnacentral:piRNA from 1 species